rnacentral:rRNA from 1 species
CCUACGGGUGGCAGCAGUGGGGAAUAUUGGGCAAUGGGCGUAAGCCUGAACCAGCCAAGUCGCGUGAGGGAUGAAGGUUCUAUGGAUCGUAAACCUCUUUUAUAAGGGAAUAAAGUGCGGGACGUGUCCCGUUUUGUAUGUACCUUAUGAAUAAGGAUCGGCUAACUCCGUGCCAGCAGCCGCGGUAAUACGGAGGAUCCGAGCGUUAUCCGGAUUUAUUGGGUUUAAAGGGUGCGUAGGCGGCCUUUUAAGUCAGCGGUGAAAGUCUGUGGCUCAACCAUAGAAUUGCCGUUGAAACUGGGAGGCUUGAGUAUGUUUGAGGCAGGCGGAAUGCGUGGUGUAGCGGUGAAAUGCAUAGAUAUCACGCAGAACGCCGAUUGCGAAGGCAGCAUACCGGCGCCCGACUGACGCUGAGGCACGAAAGCGUGGGGAUCGAACAGGAUUAGAUACCCUGGUAGUC